CCCGGAGUAGACAACAGGGAUGCCUCAGUAACGGCGAGUGAAGCGGCAACAGCUCAAAUUUGAAAUCUGGCCCCCCGGCCCGAGUUGUAAUUUGCAGAGGAUGCUUCGGGCGCGGUGCCUUCCAAGUCCCCUGGAACGGGGCGCCGGAGAGGGUGAGAGCCCCGUACGGUUGGCGGCCAAGCCUGUGUGAAGCUCCUUCGACGAGUCGAGUAGUUUGGGAAUGCUGCUCUAAGCGGGAGGUAGACCCCUUCUAAAGCUAAAUAUAGGCCAGAGACCGAUAGCGCACAAGUAGAGUGAUCGAAAGAUGAAAAGCACUUUGAAAAGAGGGUUAAACAGCACGUGAAAUUGUUGAAAGGGAAGCGCUUGCGACCAGACGUGCGCCGGGGUGCUCAGCGGGCGUUCUCGCCCGUGCACUCGCCCCGGUGCAGGCCAGCGUCGGUUCGCGUGGGAGGAUAAAGGCGCCUGGAAUGUGGCUCCCCCGGGAGUGUUAUAGCCAGGCGUGCCAUGCUCCCCUGCGGACCGAGGUACGCGUUCUGCAAGGACGCUGGCGUAAUGGUCCCCAGCGACCCGUCUUGAAACACGGACCAAGGAGUCGAGGUUUUGCGCGAGUGUUUGGGUGUUAAACCCGCACGCGUAAUGAAAGUGAACGUAGGUGGGAGCUUCGGCGCACCACCGACCGAUCCUGAUGUUCUCGGAUGGAUUUGAGUAAGAGCGUAGGGCCUCGGACCCGAAAGAUGGUGAACUAUGCUUGGAUAGGGUGAAGCCAGAGGAAACUCUGGUGGAGGCUCGCAGCGGUUCUGACGUGCAAAUCGAUCGUCAAAUCUGAGCAUGGGGGCGAAAGACUAAUCGACCCUCUUGGGGG
rnacentral:rRNA from 2 species